AUUAUUGCAGACAUUCAUUAAGCAUGCUUUUGAUCUACUCACAAGAAAAAGUGAGUAAAGAAUCUAUGAGUGGCUUUGCACUGGGAGAUUAAAGAACAUGGACAUGUGCAAGAACCUUCUCCUCACUAACUCCAGGGAGACACGAGGCUUUUAUUGUAACCUGUCUUUAGCCGUAGAAUGAGUAACUUGGAUCACUAUUAGGAUAUAAGUGUACACAAAGAAUAGUGUCUCUAAUUUAAUCCACACAGAUAUAGCAGAAACGGCUCUUAAAGAAAUCUUCCUAGGAAGUAUGAUUAAUUAAUAAGAACUUAGGAUGAGUAUUGGUUUCAUAGGCAUGGCAAAAAAAAGAAUUUCAAGGAAGAAUUUGAGGAAUAGUAAGGGAAAGAGACAUUUAAGGAAAUUCUUUUACGGAUGAGUGGAGCAGACAGCAUACGAGAAAGAAAGGACCAGAAACACGAUUUUAAAGCUAUGGAACAUGACCACAUUUCCAUGUAUGCAAUACUUGCAGUGAGUGUGUUAGUCUGCCUGACAUCAUACGAUGCUGACACAUAAAAUCCUGAGUCUGAUGAAGAAAAAGUAAAAACCCCAUUUUGGCAACCAUCCUGCUGCCCAUUUACAGCAUGAUGCACGCUGUGACCCUCAGCAUGGAAACACCACUACCAGAUCAAGGCAUGGCUGUUGGUGCUGGUGAAAGUGAGGGAUUUUGCCUUAUGUAGCUGUCUGGAUGCCACCUCCUUCACUCAGCACUUCUCACAGUUCUUUGUCAGAGCUGCCUCAUCUUCACACCGCCAUGACUGAAUGUAGGAGUCCUCCUCUCUGAACCACCCAAUAAUUCUUUCAAGGUUCAAAGAAAUUUUGAAUAAAGUGAUCAGAUAUGCUGGAGGCUCCCCAAAAUGCUGGGGUUUUUCGCAAGGUAUCACUGUUCUGUCUGAUUUUCUUACAGAACACCACUCUUACCCAAAGAUGAGCCAAACUGUACACUUACUUAAAUAGGCAUAAAUAAGCCAUGUCUGCCAGUGUGGAAAUGCCUCAAAUGAAAUUGUUCUAAAAUAGGAUUGUAAUGUUUCUUUUUUUGGGAUCUCCUAGGCAAAAGGCAGAGCUACUGCUGAAGCAGUGCACAGGUAGGGAGUCUGGUAUUUCCAGGAAGAGACAGAUUCACUUUGUAUGCACUAAGAAAUGUCACAGAAGAAAUUGAUAGGCCAGAUUGACAACUCAUUCCUAGAUUACCUGGGAAGAACACAUACUCUAUUAUAUUUUGCACACUGUGAUACAUUCACAGUAGACAUGUCGAGCAGGAUGGGCUGAGUGAUUACUCUACCCUGGCUUCUUUCAGCCUGGAAAUCCUGGGUUAAUGUAAAAAGUCCUCCCCUUUCAGCCAGACAAAAGUUUCUAGAUGGAAGGAAACACGACACAUCUGGGAAAACCUGGAUGCAGGACAGCCACAGAACAUUGACACAUUUUAACUCAGAGCAAUAAUUUAGGCACCCAUGUCACCAAACUAAUUUCACUAUGAAGUGGAUAGAAAGAAGUACAUAGUACUGUUGGUUUUGUCUUCUCUUUUUAAGGAUUGUUGCUUCUCCCAUUUUGAUGCCAUUCCUACUAGAACAUCCUCUCACAACGUCACAGAAUGCAAGAGAAUUAUAUCCCGUAAACUACUUCGACUUUAUUUUCUUUCUAUAUAAAUCUUUCUAUAUUGAAUAUCUGUUCUCCCUUUAAAAUUGUCAGUUCUGAUCUGUUAGUUGUGGUUAUUUUGGCAAAAAUGUUAGUCUAACUUAUUCUCUCUCAAAUUUCUUUAUCUGACAGUCAUUGCUUUCUUUUCGGGGAUUCCAUUGCUCCCAGUGGAAUACAGCUUGGAAAGCUAAAAAACAAAACCAAAAACAAAACCAAAUGAUUUGCAUUAGGGGCAGUUUAAAAAAAUGUACUAAGGGGGCACCAAUAAAGUAAUCACGUUACAAAGCUACUUAGGAAGAAGUGUGCUUUGGAAAAUACAAAAUCAAAAAAAUAAAUAAAAAUCAGCAUUAGCAGAAGACAUAUUCUAUCUGACAAGAAAAAAAAUAAAUAAUCCAAGCAUUAUAUUUUGGAUGCAACAUAUUUGCAGGGACAGAAAGAGGGCGAAGAAACAUGCAAACUUGGCUAAUCUUUGGGUAGUUAAUACAACUUAAUUUUAUCUAAGCCACAUGAAUUCUUAAAUCUACAAUUUAGACUAGUUCCAAAGUUAUUUAAGGCUUUUAACAUCACCAGUCAGUGUAUGCCAAAGAGUGCUAAAGAUAACUGGGGCCUGAUCCACACUCCAUUUGUCUGUCUCUUCUAGUAUUUCCAUUCAGGGACUCCUCUUCCUUAAUUUUCUUCAAGCCUGCAACCAGCAGCAUCUCCUCUUGCCAGAGACAUCAUUUCUUCUUCCCCAGUCCUCAGAUAUACUAAACAUCCUUCUUUUUCUUCCUCUCAUUUCUUUCUCUGCUGAGGAACAUCCGUCUCCCUAACAGCUAACAGUAGCCUCCAGUCAAAUGCUCUGAGUUCCGCUCUGUCUCUUUCCCUUCAUCCUGGCUUUCUUCUUAAUCUCAUUCCAGUUUCUUACUAUGUGCAAUUUACUCAUUCAACAACACUUAUCUCCAGCAACUGUAACUCAUUCACAUAUACAUGGCUGUCAAACCCAGAAGCUCUACUUGUCUCAUAACAGGCAGAACCAUGACUUUUAAGAUCUGGUCCCACAGAAUUUAGUAAUUCAUAGCAGUUCUUUUUUAAUCCAAGCUAAUAAAACACUUCAUAAUUUCAUUAGCACAUCAAUCUG
ensembl:lncRNA